rnacentral:rRNA from 2 species
UGGUUUCCGUAGGUGAACCUGCGGAAGGAUCAUUA